GACAGAGGUGCCGAGCGUUAGGCGGAAUCACUGGGCUUAAAGCGUGUGUAGGCGGGCGGGCAGGUACCUUGUGAAAUCCCACGGCUCAACCGUGGAACGGCUGGGUAUACUGCCUGUCUUGAGCCAACUAGGGGCGAGCGGAACAGACGGUGGAGCGGUGAAAUGCGUAGAUAUCGUCUGGAACGCAAAGGUGAAAACAGCUCGCUGGGGUUGUGCUGACGCUGAGACACGAGAGCCAGGGGAGCGAACGGG
rnacentral:rRNA from 1 species